AGCUCCAAUAGCGUAUAUUAAAGUUGUUGCAGUUAAAAGCUCGUAGUUGGAUUUCUGGUAGGAGCGACCUGCCCGGGCUUGAUUGUCCGUGUGCUGAGUUGUCUCUGGCCAUCCUCGUGGAGAACAUGUUCGCAUUGAUUUGUUGAGCAUGGGACCUGCGUCAUUUACUGUGAAAAAUUAGAGUGUUUAAAGCAGGCAAUCGCUUGAAUACAUUAGCAUGGAAUAAUAAGAUAGGACUUUGGUGCUAUUUUGUUGGUUUACACACCAAGGUAAUGAUUAACAGGGACAGUUGGGGGUAUUCGUAUUCAUAUGUCAGAGGUGAAAUUCUUGGAUUUUAGGAAGACGAACUACUGCGAAAGCAUUUACCAAGGAUGUUUUCA
rnacentral:rRNA from 1 species